GGCAAUUGAAAAGUAAAGACCUCUCUCGACGAACAAAAACCAAACUCUACAAGUCUCUCAUCAUUCCCGUUCUACUUUACGGUGCAGAAGCGUGGACGAUGUCAACAUCCGAUGAGACGGCACUAGGAGUUUUCGAGAGAAAGGUUUUGCGGAAGAUUUAUGGUCCCUUAAACAUUGGCAACGGCGAAUACCGCAGACGAUGGAACGAUGAGCUGUAUGUGUUAUUCGACGACAUAGGCAUAGUCCAGCGAAUAAAAAAACAGCGGCUACGCUGGCUAGGUCAUGUUGUUCGAAUGGAUGAAAGUGCUCCAGCUCUGAAAGUAUUCGAUGCAGUACCCGCUGGUGGAAGCCGAGGAAGAGGGAGACCUCCACUCCGAUGGAAGGACCAGGUGGAGAGGGACCUGGCUUCGCUUGGUAUAACCAAUUGGCGCCAAACUGCCAGAAGGAGGGAUACGUGGCGCGCUGUUUUGGGCUCGGCUAUAACCACGUAAGCGGUGUCUACGACAGUCAAGAAGAAGAGGAAGCUCUGUAGAUAUAUAUAUAUAUAUAUAUAUAUAUAUAUAUUAACGUUUGUUUUUUAGCAUUACUUAUAUUUUCAUUAUCCAUUUCAGAUAUUGAAAACACAAAUCUUCUUCUGCUUACGCGGUUAUAGCCGAGUCCACAACAGCGCGCCACGUAUCUCGCCUUUUGUUAGUUAGGCGUCAAUUGGUAAUACCAAGUGAAGACAGGUCCUUCUCGACCUGGUCCUUCCAUCGGAGUGGAGGUCUCCCUCUUCCUCGGCUUCCACCAGCGGGUACCGCAUCGAAAACUUUCAGAGCUGAGGCACUUUCGUCCAUUCGAACAAUAUGACCGCAGUCUUUUUAUCCGCUGGACUAUGCCUAUGUCGUCGAACAACACAUACAGCUCAUCAUUUCAUCUUUUGCGGUAUUCGCCGUUGCCAAUGUUUAAGGGACCAUAAAUCUUCCGCAAAACCUUUCUCUCGAAAACUCCUAGUGCCGUCUCAUCGGAUGUAGACACCGCCCACGCUUCUGCACCAUAAAGUAGGACGGGAAUGAUGAGAGACUUGUAGAGUUUAGUUUUUGCUCAUCGAGAGAGGACUUUACUUUUCAAUUGCCUACUCAGACCAUAAACACAAAUACUUUGCACAAAUGGAGGAUUACAAUGGCUACAACUUUUCUUAGGCAUGAUAAACAAGACAAAAACAAAUCCCAUCGGACAUUUAGAUUAGCAGUUGCACAACGUCUUUCCGACGACCUGAACCCUUUUAUGAAGUACAUAUGAGAUAAAAUUGUGUGGAAUUGACAUCAAACAAUAUUGGUUGAGUAGUUUUGUUGGAACCUACAGAAUAGUUAUAAGGAAAUCGUUCGCGUUUAGUACUAAUGUAUUCAUUUUGAAUUGAUGAAUUGAUAUAAAUUAUGAAUUAGAUUUAAAUGUAAAAUAUUGUUAAAUUAUACAAAUGAAUGUUUGAAUACUAAUAACAGUCGUAAUAGUAGUUGAAUUUUAUUUGUAUUGUAUAACAACAACUACAAAAAAUAAAAAUUUAAUAAUUAAUACCAACUUUAUUUGUAAAAUAUAUAAAUUUUGUCUAUGUAUAAAUGAUAGCUGCAAAAACGUUUUUAAAAAUUAAAGUUCACUUUGUACUGAAAUGCUAAUAUUUAAAAAUUAAUCUAUAAUGAUUAUUAAAAACUUAAAAUAUUAUACCAUACUAAUUUAUAAAUGUAAAUACAUCA